rnacentral:tRNA from 14 species
ACAAGGACUGGCAGCAGCGACCCGCCGUAGCAGAAAUUUAUAAAUGAAAAAAAUGGUAUUACUGGCUUCACACGGAACUCGACCUGCCGGCUUCGCUUGAGACCAAGGUGGUGCCAGCGGCGAUCAAAUGCUAGGAUGUGCCCAGGCAAAAUAACUCGAAGUGUCUAGUAGUAUCCUCUAUCCGCCAUCCCUCGCUCCAUGUUUCAGUACCCAUAGCCAUGUUGAUCCAUUGCGAGGUCUUCAUGAGGCUCUACUAUUGUUGAGUGACUCACAUCGCUGUUGAUGUAGUCUAGUGAUGUAUUGUAUUUUUGCCUAUUGCUUAAGAUCUUUCGUGUGGUAUACCCCUAUCGAUUUGCCUUUUAAGUCUUCAAUCACGUAAAGACAUCUUCCGACCGGGCGUACAAUACGACACUUCAAAUACUUCUUGCUGAGCUUGGCAUUAAUGUUUUUACUAAAAUCGCUUAACUGGUGAUUCCUACGGAAUGCCUCUUGCUCCGGGAAAAAUCGAACCGCUCUAGACCUUGUAUUUAACGGCUCUGAAUGUAUAGCUCUUGGACAUGUUCUUUCGAAGCCAUUCCCUGAUAAGUUCCAAUUGGGUAGCCCUGGGCAAUGCUGUAUACCCUAGGUCCUUUAGGGCAUCCAGCUGGCGAGCCAACCUGUACACGCUUCCAUGAGUUACCAUAUUUGUCCCAAAAUCCUUGCAGGUAAAUUGCUUUCCGUUAUCGGAAAAUAGGGUCUCGGGCACACCAAAUUUAUGGAAAACCUCUGUCGUCAAGAACUGUAUGUCAUUAGUCGCCGUGGCCUUUCUCAUUGGCUUGAGCAAAACAAUCUUGGAUAGGUGGUCCAGGACGAUAAAUAUAAACGUAUUUCCGGUCUUUGACUGAACAUAAUACCCCAGAAAAUCUAUAUAGACUUUAUGGAACGGCCUAUCGAUUUGGACCUCCUAACCCAUUGGCUGUUGCAUAUUCUGAUAAUUCGGCUUCGACUCCUUGUAUGUUCGACAUCUUUGCACAUAAGUUCACACCUGAGCACCCAUACUCAGCCAGUUAUACAGCUCUUUAAGUCGCCUUAACGUUUUACGGAACCCUUAGUGGGCUGAUGUCGGUGGGUUAUGGGCCUUGGCGAUCGCUUCCUAGGUUAGUUGUUCUGGUACCCAUCGUUUCCAGGCGAAUUCUUCGCUUGGUAUAUCGGUAGCCACCGGAAUAGUCUUUUUAUAUAUCCAACCAUCCUUGAUGCGUAGAUCAGACAAACUCUUGCCAUUUUCCUCGACAAUCAUCACCUUCUCGUGGUAGUUUUCGAACUUGAACUCCGGAGCGUCCUUGUUUAAUAUGCGGCAUAAAUCGAGCUCAUCCAUGUUAUAUGUCGAGAGAGCGUCUGGCACACCAUUCUGGCUUCCUCGCCAAUGCUCAAUCUCGAAGCUAUGCCCUUGAAGCAGUAAACUCCACCGAGCCAAUCGUCCACUCAACUACUUGUUGUACAUUAGCCACUUUAGAGACAAAUGGUCGAUGAUUACCGUUAGGGGCAUAAGUUCGAUAUAUGGCCUGAAUUUCUUAAUUGCCACGACUACCGCCAAACACUCUCGCUCAGUGACGGAAUAGUUCUUCUGCGCUGCCGUUAACUUCUUCUUAGAAACGUAGGCUAUUGGGUGCUCUCCUCCGUCUUCGUCCUUCUGCAAAUGAACUCCUCCCACGCCCACAUUCGAAGCGUUAUACGCAAAAAUGGGAAUUCGGGCCUUUUCGACCCUCUCCAAAUAAUUCUGGCCAAGGCAACUUACCAUGGCACCACUGUCACACAAUCCCUCGACCUAUUCCUCACCAAUUUUAAUUUGCAUAUAAAGCCUAGAAUCGUCGCCCUCAUACACCUUCGCGAAGGCUAUCUCCUUUCUAAGGUCCUUUCGUUUCUUGUAUCUGACCCUUACCUUUUCGAUUCUUAUUUUCUUUAAUUUGAGGUCAGCUUCGCUAAAGAUUCUAUCCCUAGUCUCCUGGUACUUCUCCAUUCUUAUGGUCCAAGGCAUUAUUUCUUUCAAUUUAACUUCAUUUCUAAUUAAUUUUCCUUACUUAUUCUAUCUUUAUUUUCUAAAAUAGUUACUGUAAUGAGGAUCUGUUGUACAUGAUCGACCUCUAUUGGUGGUGCAUCGACUUCGGGAACGUUCCACCUCUCUCGGGCCCGCCUGUAGAUUUCCCUGACAUCACGGACAUUUUGGCUUCACCACAUUUUCCAUUCCGCAUCCGUAACAAAAUAGGGCGCCCCGGUAGCUGAGUUGGUAGCGUGCUUGGAUUACCAGUGCAGCGGUCGUGAGUUAGAUUCCCGCCAGAAGCCUUGAUCUGUCGCUACUGUGACAAAAAAAAAUCAAAUAUAAACCAGCUCUGGGUGGAGAUGGGCGGCCCACACGACCAUGGUAUCCGAUGUCCAACCUAUUUGGAUACCCCAGCAUCGUCCCACUCAUCCCCCUCUACAGCAUGGUGCACUACCCAUUUCCUACCUUAACAACUACUCCUCCAUUGUGGAAUGAGAACUAGCCGAAGAUGAAUUUCAUUUCAACGUUAUAAUGACAUGCAGUAGGGGCUCCUUUUCGCCCAAAAGCUAAAACUGCUACCCCCCUGGACCUAGGUCGAGCUCACCCUAACAGCUGAAGAAAACGCCUAUUUGCUCUCGCGUCGUUUACAAAAAACUAAAGGAAAGCAAACUGUCUUCAAGUCCUGUCCGCCCGUAGUAGUCUUCGUGUGUAUCCUGUAAAUGUACAUAAGAAGAAAGGGGUACUUGGUGCACUGUCGGCUGACCAGUGGCUGUGAUGUCAUCCAAAAGUCGGAUGUUCCCACUAUGGGCAGCGGAGGUGGACAAGCUUAUAUUUUGUCGUUUGGUUUUUGUGUUAUUUCAGUUUUUGGUUGUCUUCAUAGAUCUAAUAUUGUUGUCAUAGAUUUAAUUUUAGAUUUAAUAUUGUAGAUCAUAGAUUUUGUUUUAUUAGUAACCACUGGCUUCAACAAUUUUUCCUUUUUGGUUUAUUUUGUUUUAGCAACUUUUCUUCUCCUUCAGGAGAAUUUGCAGUUUUUUUACUAUUUU